rnacentral:rRNA from 1 species
AUUGAACGCUGGCGGCAUGCUUUACACAUGCAAGUCGAACGGCAGCACGGGUGCUUGCACCUGGUGGCGAGUGGCGGACGGGUGAGUAAUGCAUCGGAACGUGUCCUGAAGUGGGGGAUAACGCAUCGAAAGAUGUGCUAAUACCGCAUAUUCUCUGAGGAGGAAAGUAGGGGAUCGAAAGACCUUAUGCUUUUGGAGCGGCCGAUGUCUGAUUAGCUAGUUGGUAGGGUAAUGGCUUACCAAGGCGACGAUCAGUAGUUGGUCUGAGAGGACGACCAGCCACACUGGGACUGAGACACGGCCCAGACUCCUACGGGAGGCAGCAGCGGGGAAUAUUGGACAAUGGGGGGAACCCUGAUCCAGCGAUGCCGCGUGUGUGAAGAAGGCCUGCGGGUUGUAAAGCACUUUCAGUGGGAAAGAGAAGCGUCUUGUGAAUAAUGGGACGUGGAGACGUUACUCACAGAAGAAG